CUACGGAAGGCAGCAAUUAGGAAUCUUGCACAAUGGGGGAAACCCUGAUGCAGCGACGCCGCGUGAAGGAUGAAGGUUCUCGGAUCGUAAACUUCUUUUAAGAGGGAAGAAAUUUGACGGUACCUCUUGAAUAAGCCCCGGCUAACUACGUGCCAGCAGCCGCGGUAAUACGUAGGGGGCGAGCGUUGUCCGAAGUUACUGGGCGUAAAGCGCGCGUAGGCGGUUUCUUAAGUCUGGGGUGAAAGGUUCAACGCUCAACGUGAACAGUGCCUUGGAUACUGGGAGACUUGAGUUAGGGAGAGGGUAGUAGAAUUCCUGGUGUAGCGGUGAAAUGCGUAGAUAUCAGGAGGAAUACCAAUGGCGAAGGCAGCUGCCUGGCCUAUAACUGACGCUGAGGUGCGAAAGCGUGGGGAGCAAACGGGAUUAGAUACCCGUGUAGUCC
rnacentral:rRNA from 1 species